rnacentral:rRNA from 1 species
CCUACGGGAGGCAGCAGUGAGGAAUAUUGGUCAAUGGGCGGAAGCCUGAACCAGCCAAGCCGCGUGCAGGAAGAAGGCCCCACGGGUUGUAAACUUCUUUUGUCGGGGAACAACGCGCGCCACGUGUGGCGUUUUGCGUGUACCCUACGAACAAGCAUCGGCUAACUCCGUGCCAGCAGCCGCGGUAAUACGGAAGGUGCGGGCGUUAUCCGGAUUUAUUGGGGUUAAAGGGAGCGUAGGCGGGCUGGCAAGUUAGCUGUGAAAGGCCCGGGCUCAACCCCGGGCGAGCCGGGGAAACUGUCGGGCUGGAGACGGCGAGAAGUAAGCGGAAUGCGGGGUGUAGCGGUGAAAUGCAGAGAUAUGGCGCAGAACCCCGAUUGCGAAGGCAGCUUGCCGGAGCGGGACUGACGCUGAGGCACGAAAGCGUGGGUAUCGAACAGGAUUAGAUACCCGUGUAGUC